GCGGGGUGCGAGUGGCGCAGUCGGAGCCCGCUGCGGCCCCUGAGGAAGCGAGGAGGCGUCGGCGUCGGCUGAGGCGGGCGGACCUGCGAGGCGAGGCGGCGGCCCCAGGCCCGAGGGACUCGGGAGCUCGAGCAGCGGCGGCGGCAAGACCUCUCCCCCUCGGAGGCGGCGGGCGGAGGCGGCGGGAGCGGUGGUGCCCCCCCCGGGCACGGGGCCAUGUACAACGGGAUCGGGCUGCCGACGCCCCGGGGCAGCGGCACCAACGGCUACGUCCAGCGCAACCUGUCCCUGGUGCGGGGCCGCCGGGGUGAGCGGCCUGACUACAAGGGAGAGGAGGAACUGCGGCGCCUGGAGGCUGCCCUGGUGAAGCGGCCUAAUCCUGACAUCCUGGACCACGAGCGCAAGCGGCGCGUCGAGCUGCGAUGCCUCGAGCUGGAGGAGAUGAUGGAAGAGCAGGGGUACGAGGAACAGCAAAUUCAGGAAAAAGUGGCGACCUUUCGACUCAUGUUGCUGGAGAAGGAUGUGAACCCUGGGGGCAAGGAGGAGACCCCAGGGCAGAGGCCAGCGUGAGUGUUGCGCUCUCCCUCAAUGACUCUGGACUCUACUCUGGCUGCUGGCUGCUGCUGCUGCUGCUGUCCUUUUCCUUACGUGGGACUUCCUCCCUGCUUUCGUCUGCCUUUCCCAUGCCUUAUUUGGCUCCUGCUUAUACUUGUGUUCCGAAUAUGGCUCUGUCCUUUAUAUUUCCUUUAGCCUUUUGCCUUUCUUUUGUCUAGGGUCACGGAGACUCACCAGUUGGCAGAAUUGAAUGAGAAGAAGAAUGAAAGACUCCGUGCUGCCUUUGGCAUCAGUGAUUCUUAUGUAGAUGGCAGCUCUUUUGAUCCUCAGCGUCGUGCCCGAGAAGCUAAACAACCAGCUCCUGAGCCUCCCAAACCUUACAGCCUUGUUCGGGAGUCUAGCAGUUCUCGCUCACCAACCCCAAAGCAGAAGAAGAAGAAAAAGAAGAAAGAUAGAGGACGCAGGUCAGAGAGCAGCUCUCCUCGACGAGAGAGAAAGAAAAGCUCAAAGAAGAAGAAGCACAGGUCAGAAUCUGAGUCCAAGAAACGUAAGCAUAGGUCUCCCACUCCAAAGAGCAAACGUAAAUCUAAGGACAAAAAGCGAAAGCGGUCUCGAAGUACAACACCAGCCCCCAAGAGUCGCCGGGCCCACCGUUCAACUUCUGCGGACUCUGCUUCCUCCUCCGAUACUUCCCGCAGUCGGUAAGGGGUAGUCCAGGAGGAAGGGAGGGAGAGAGGGAAUGAUGGGUUAAUUAAUUUAAUAUUUAUUGAGCGCCCACGGUGUGCUAGGCGCUGCACAGACCAUUCGGAAGACACGGUCCCUGCCCUCUAGGAGCUGACAGGCUAAAGCAACAGGAUGGACAGACAUAUACAUUUCCCCUUCUCUUUUUUUUUUGUUUUUGUUUAUUUGUUAUUUUUGUUUCGUUCUGAUGUAUAUGGACUGCCAGAAUAGGGGGGGUGGUGGUUUGUUCGUGGUGUCUGGGGGAGGAAGGAAUCCUUACCCUGGCUUCCUUAAUCGGGGAAGGCUUCCUGAAGGAGGUGGGCUCAGAGGUGAGUUGUGAAUGAAGCGGGUAGGGAGUGGGCUGGGUGGAUGGUUUGGGGAUGUUUGGGGGAGGUGAGUAAAGGGGUAGAAGGGAGAACGCUCUUUGGGAUUGUGUUGGGAAGAGAAGAACCAAAGUGGACUGUACUUGUAUUUCAGUGAAUGGUUUGAGUUUUGCGACUAAGAAGGCUUUUUGGAAGAGGGUUGUACAGUUAGGAAAGGUGGAUGGGAGUUGGGGAGGGGGUUUUCUGUUCUCCCUUUGAGCUGAUUUCCUUCCUCUCCCGCGUCCUCAAUUAACUCCUGCAGGUCUCGAAGUGCUGCAGCUAAAACUCAUACAACUGCCUUGACUGGGCGAAGUCCUUCUCCUGCUUCAGGGCGACGAGGGGAGGGAGAUGCGCCUUUCAGCGAACCAGGUACUACCAGCACACAACGGCCUAGUAGCCCGGAGCCUGCUACGAAACAGCCUAGCAGCCCUUAUGAAGACAAAGAUAAAGACAAGAAGGAGGUAUGUUCCUGAGUUGGUGAUGUUCAUUGAAUUGAAAUGUAUAGAUUUAGGAUAGACAUGUGAUGCGAAAGGGAGAAGUAAUAACUUAUUAAAAUAAAUAAAUUCAGUUUUUUUUCUGCA
rnacentral:sRNA from 1 species